rnacentral:rRNA from 1 species
AUUGAACGCUGGCGGCAUGCCUUACACAUGCAAGUCGAACGGCAGCGGACCUUCGGGUGCCGGCGAGUGGCGAACGGGUGAGUAAUGCAUCGGAACGUGCCAUUGAGUGGGGGAUAACGUAGCGAAAGUUGUGCUAAUACCGCAUAUUCUGUGAGCAGGAAAGCAGGGGACCGCAAGGCCUUGCGCUCUUUGAGCGGCCGAUGUCAGAUUAGCUAGUUGGUGAGGUAACGGCUUACCAAGGCGACGAUCUGUAGCGGGUCUGAGAGGAUGAUCCGCCACACUGGAACUGAGACACGGUCCAGACUCCUACGGGAGGCAGCAGUGGGGAAUUUUGGACAAUGGGGGCAACCCUGAUCCAGCCAUGCCGCGUGAGUGAAGAAGGCC